CAAAAUGGCGGAGGCUUCGAAAUCUACAAUGAGCGUACCAGCCAAAACAGAGGGAGAGAUGAGAAGAAGUAAAUGCGUGAGACAGCCAUCUAAGAGAAUGUUGUAUUCUCAGGACACAGAUUCAGAUUCAAGUCUACAGAAGAGUUAAGGAAAACGUCCUGCCAGAAAGAUCCAGAAAGUUGAUACAUUAGCAACAAUAACUAAGUGGUGCUCUUGUCACAGAUGCCCACAAUACGAGAGAGUGGAAGAUCGAGUUUGCUGUGGGAUGGUCCCAGAAUUAUGCUCAAGUCACAGACCUGAGAUGACUCUUUCGGUGCUGGAUAGGAUGACCCUCUACAGUCAGCAGCAGUAUCAACAAGAUGUGUUUUCCUUUUAUGCAGAGACACUAGAAGAUGUCAAUAAAUCUUUCAGACAUGCUGCAUACAGACAAUUUACCAUCUUAAUGCAUGAGAAUAACUGUCCCAGCAUGUUGUGUUAAAUUAAUAAGGGAGAAGUUUCCUAGUCCUUAAGGCCAGUAUACAGGCUUCGUACCAGGUGAAGGCCCAGUGUUCUAAUAAUUUUGCAUAUUUAUGCCCCCCUUCGAAGAAGAGGGGGUAUAUAGUUUUGCACAUGUUGGUCCUUCCACCAGAUGGUUUCGGGAUGAUAACUUAAGAACGCUUAGGCCUAGGAUCAUGAAACUUCAUAGGUACAUUGAUCAUGACUGGCAAAUAACCCCUAUUGAUUUUCAGGUCACUAGGUCAAAGGUCAGUGACUCGAAACAGUAAAGCGGUUUCCGGAUGAUAACUCAAGAAUGCAUACGCCUAGGAUCUUGAAACUUCAUAGGUACAUUGAUCACGACUGGCAGAGGACCCCUUUAGAUUUUCCGGUCACAAGGUCAAUGUCACAGUGACUCAAAACAAUAAAAUGGUUUCCAGCUGAUAACUCAAGAAUGCUUACGCCUUUUGAUCAUGAAACUUCAUAUCUACAUUGAUAAUGACUGGCAGAUGACCCCUUUUGAUUUUCAGGUCACUAGGUCAAGGUCACAGUGACUCGAAAUAGUAAAAUGGUUUCCUGAUGAUAACUCAAGAAUAAUUAGGCCUAGGAUCAGGAAACUUCAUAGGUACAUUGAUCAUGACUGACAGAUGACCCCUAUUAAUUUUCAGGUCACUAUGUCAAAGGUCAAGGUGACUCGACACAGUAAAAUAGUUUCCGGAUGAUAACUCAAGAAAGCUUACGCCUAGGAUCAUGAAACUUCAUAAGUUCAUUGAUCACGACUCGCAGAUGACCCCUAUUGAUUUUCAGGUGACUAGGUCAAAGGUCAAUGUCACAGUGACAAAAAACGUAUUCACACAAUGGCUGCCACUACAACUGACAGCCCAUAUGGGGGGCAUGCAUGUUUUACAAACAGCCCUUGUUUAUUUUUAUUUCGAGUCAUUUUGUUUCACACUUGAUAUUUGUUAGAUUAGGUUUCUUAAAAUACAUUUUAAACAUGACAUAUGCUAAUGCAUGAUUAAACAUUUCGAAAUCAAUAAAAAAGCAACAAGUUGCUGUUGAAAUUAAAAAAAAUAGUAUCUUAUUAUUGUUCAACCAUGUUUUGUAUAUUGUGUGCUUUCUUUAUGUAGUAAC